GAUGAACGCUGGCGGCGUGCUUAACACAUGCAAGUCGAACGAGAAGUGGAGACGGAAACCUUCGGGCGGAAGACUUUACUUCGAGUGGCGGACGGGUGAGUAACGCGUGGGUAACCUGCCUCAUACAGGGGGAUAACAGUUGGAAACGACUGUUAAUACCGCAUAAGACCACAGCACCGCAUGGUGCGGGGGUAAAAACUCUGGUGGUAUGAGAUGGACCCGCGUUCGAUUAGCCAGUUGGCGGGGUAACGGCCCACCAAAGCGACGAUCGAUAGCCGAUCUGAGAGGAUGACCGGACACAUUGGGACUGAGACACGGCCCAAACUCCUACGGGAGGCAGCAGUGGGGAAUAUUGCACAAUGGGGGAAACCCUGAUGCAGCGACGCUGCGUGAGUGAAGAAGUAUUUCGGUAUGUAAAGCUCUAUCAGCAGGUAAGAAAAUGACGGUACCAGAGUAAGAAGCCCCGGCUAACUACGUG
rnacentral:rRNA from 1 species